UGCGGCUGGAUCCCCUCCUUUCUAAGGAUUCUUCUUCGGGUGUGAUCGGUUCGUCCGAUCCGCUGAGCCUCGGCUCAACCCAUCGAGGAUCAUUAGGAUAUCAGGGCUCAGUCAGAGCCCCUUGGCGGGACACGCGCCGUCCUCGUUUCUCUUUCUCGUACCGGACAGAUCUAGCUCCGCCGGCCCGUUUGACGGGUCUGAGCGUCGAGCUUGUCCGGAAUCUGAGUUUGCCGCAGCCUGGAUGCUGUGAGGACCGAUGGGUCCCGCAGGGUCGGCUGUUAGGCGAAGACAUCGGUGACAUCGUGAAGAGGGAAUGUGGCCGUUGGGGCAGAGAGAUCUGCCAACCCCGGCGGCCAUGUUCGGCAAGCAUACGGUGAUCGGAUCGGAAACGGUUCGAUCACUGGUCUUUUUGUGACCGUGUCAGACUUUUGCGCUGGAUCCUCUGGACCCAGUCACAAAAGAACGGACAUCGAUCACGAGAGCGAUCAAGUGCCUUAAGAGCAUUCGGUGGAUGCCUUGGCGCUGAGAGGCGAUGAAGGGCGUGGUACGCUGCGAUAAGCCUUGGGGAGCUGCGAACGAGCUUUGAUCCAGGGAUUUCCGAAUGGGGAAACCCGGA
rnacentral:misc_RNA from 1 species